CCUACGGGAGGCAGCAGUGAGGAAUAUUGGUCAAUGGGCGAGAGCCUGAACCAGCCAAGUCGCGUGAAGGAUGAAGGAUCUAUGGUUUGUAAACUUCUUUUAUAUGGGAAUAAAGUGAGGAACGUGUUCCUUUUUGUAUGUACCAUAUGAAUAAGCAUCGGCUAACUCCGUGCCAGCAGCCGCGGUAAUACGGAGGAUGCGAGCGUUAUCCGGAUUUAUUGGGUUUAAAGGGUGCGUAGGUGGUUAAUUAAGUCAGCGGUGAAAGUUUGUGGCUCAACCCUAAAAGUGCCGUUGAACAUGGUUGGCUUGAGUAUAUGUGAGGUAGGCGGAAUGCGUGGUGUAGCGGUGAAAUGCAUAGAUAUCACGCAGAACUCCGAUUGCGAAGGCAGCUUACCAAACUAUAACUGACACUGAAGCACGAAAGCGUGGGGAUCAAACAGGAUUAGAUACCCCUGUAGUC
rnacentral:rRNA from 1 species